UACGAGGGGGGCGAGCGUUGUUCGGAAUCACUGGGCGUAAAGCGCACGUAGGCGGAUGUGCCAGUCAGGGGUGAAAUCCCGGAGCUCAACUUCGGAACUGCCCUUGAUACAGCACGUCUUGAGUCCGAGAGAGGUGGAUGGAAUUCCUAGUGUAGAGGUGAAAUUCGUAGAUAUUAGGAAGAACACCGGUGGCGAAGGCGGUCCACUGGCUCGGUACUGACGCUGAGGUGCGAAAGCGUGGGGAGCAAACAGG
rnacentral:rRNA from 1 species